UACACUUACACUAUAGAAUCAUAUCUAAAAAAAACUGUUAAAUAGAUAAUAACUUUUUCAAGCCCAUAAUUAAAGAACUAAAGUAGCCAUCACUUGGAUUGGAUCGAAUUUUGAAAGGAAACAAAGGGAGGGGCUGUUUGAUUUUAGGCUUACUGGGUCCGGUCAGUAAUUUUGGACUGAUUCGGUCCGGUUAGCCCGUUUGGUAACCUCAAAAAGUGGCUGACUCGGUAAGUUUUGACUGACCCAAUAGCUUACCCGGUCCAUUGAUUAUUAGUAGCUGACUCAAAAAAUUGACUGAUAUGCCCUAAAGAAAAAAACGACGCACGCAACCUCCCCUCUUCGGCUCUCUUCAUCGCUACUGUCUCUUCCUUCUUCCACAAAAAAUUGAAGGUGCAGUCUUUCAUCUGGCCAAAUCGACGCCGCCGUCGUCUCUUCGCCACCUAUCCCCGCCUAUAGCAACGUCUGACUUGCGGCAAACAGGAUUACCUUUUAUUUCUUUCAAUUGGAGAGUGAAACGACAAAAGAGGUGCUUACAAUCACAACUGAAGAUGGAAGUGAGAAUAGUAUUUUGGAAAAAACUGCAUUGGUUCAUUAAUCUUUUGUUUUUUAUUGAUUCAGUUCAUUAUUUCUAGUUUUUUUAUAUGAUUAUGGAAAUUCACCGGUACAAAUAUGGAUUUAGAUUAUAGUUACACAGGUGAAUGGUUGUAAGUAUAUUUGUGUGUACAAAUCUUAUUUUGGAAAAUGUAUUUUAUAUAAGCUUUUAUGAAAAAUGCUGUGUAUAUUUAUUUGAAUAUGAAAAAUGUGUGUAUACUUGAGUAAAAACAAAAAAUAGAAAGGGAGAAGAAUGAAAUUUAUAUAUUA